AGCUGGUCCAAAGACAGUGAGUUAUCUCGAUUGUUCAGUCAGUUACAGAACAAACUCCUUGUUCUACUCUUUUCCCUGUUCUCACUACUGCACUUUAGUAGUCUUAA
ensembl:misc_RNA Y_RNA Y RNA